rnacentral:misc_RNA from 1 species
GGAGAACCAGCUAGAGGAGGUUGGAUAUUGAUAUUUACUUUGACUCCUUUUCCCCCUUCAUUUUGCACCACAAGUAACAAUUCAGUAGAUCCAUUCUGGGGAGUCUGAAUGCAUGCAAGCAGGGUUUGCCCAAUCCUGCACAUUUUUUUAGCCUUCUGACAGCUCUGAUUGGUGUUCACUUCCGAGUUUAUUGUUUCGUCUAUUUUCUUCUUUUCUUCAUUCUCCUUCUUCAGCACAGGUGGAGGGGUUUCAACAGUCACAUUUUUAUCAUUUUUAGACCCAUCGGGAUCCAAUUUUGGCAAGUGAUUGCCUCCCUGAGGCUGAGGAUCUUUAGGUUUCUCUUUGUCAGCUUUAGAGCUCCCAUCAUUCACUACAGUGGUAUUUGGUUCUUUUGGAUCAAUCUUUGUUGGACCAUUUCUUCCCUGAGGAUCUUUAGGCUGUUCAGUUUUAGCUUCUGAGCUUCCAUCAUUGACUACAGUUGAAUUCUGGUCCUUCAAAUCUUUAGGUGCAUCAUCGAUUACUUGAGGAUCUUUAGGAUUUUGGUUUUCAGUUUGUGAUCUCCCAU